rnacentral:rRNA from 1 species
CAAUAGCGUAUAUUUAAGUUGUUGCAGUUAAAAAGCUCGUAGUUGGAUUUCUGGUUGAAGCGACCGGUCGGGCGUUGAUUCGUCUGCACUGGAGUCGGUUUUGGCCAUCCUCUAGGAAAGUGCGUCUGGUAUUAAGUUAUCGGGCGUAUGAUCCUGGUCUUUUACUGUGAAAAAAUUAGAGUGUUUAAAGCAGGCCUUCGCCUUGAAUACAUUAGCAUGGAAUAAUAAGAUAGGACUUUGGUCUAUUUUGUUGGUUUGCAGACCGAAGUAAUGAUUAAUAGGGAUAGUUGGGGGUAUUUAUAUUCCGAUGUCAGAGGUGAAAUUCUUAGAUUUUCGGAAGAUAAACUUAUGCGAAAGCAUUUACCAAGGAUGUUUNCAUUAA